rnacentral:lncRNA from 1 species
AUCAGAUAUCCAAAUCACAUGUCAUCUGAAACUGUAUAUGCUAUAUGUUGUUAUUCAUCUAAUGUCUCUGAGCUUCGUAAAUGUUCUUUUAAGUUGGCUAUUGUAUUAGUUGAGUGGAGUAAGUUAUUUUGUCUUUCUUAUGAAUUGUUUUUUCUUGUGCUGGUAGAUGAUAGACAUGAAUCACAUGACCAUCAUCAAGUUGACUAUAACAU